AUGAACGCUAGCGACAGGCCUAACACAUGCAAGUCAGGGGCAGCACAAGGAGCAAUCUGAGGUGGCGACCGGCGCACGGGUGAGUAACACGUAUGCAACCUGCCUGUAAGCGGGGAAUAACCCGUUGAAAGACGGACUAAUACCGCAUAAUACUAAAUUACUGCAUGGUAAUUUAUUUAAACAUUUAUGGCUUACAGAUGGGCAUGCGCAUGAUUAGCUAGUUGGAGAGGUAACGGCUCCCCAAGGCAACGAUCAUUAGGGGUUCUGAGAGGAAGGUCCCCCACACUGGUACUGAGACACGGACCAGACUCCUACGGGAGGCAGCAGUGAGGAAUAUUGGUCAAUGGACGAGAGUCUGAACCAGCCAAGUCGCGUGCAGGAAGAAUGUCCUAUUGGAUUGUAAACUGCUUUUGCAGGGGAAUAAAGUGCAUCACGUGCGAUGUUUUGUAUGUACUCUGCGAAUAAGGAUCGGCUAACUCCGUGCCAGCAGCAGC
rnacentral:rRNA from 1 species